CCUCAGUAGUUUAGUUCUACGGCAGUUCUCCACCCAGUAUAUCGAGACUCAGUGUAGUCUGGAUCUGGCCCUUCUUAAUAUGGGGUAGAUAGAGUUUUGAGGAUCCCGUUGAACUUUCAAAGCACUACAUAUAGAUUGCAGAUCAUAGCUGUAGAAUGAUCAAUGAUUUUUAGUAGCAAUCCCAAUGAUCCGCGUAUGGUUUGGUGUGCAGAUAUGUUCUGUCAUGUGGAAAGGACUCUCAGAUUAGAUUAUGGGAAGUAGGCACAGGUCGGCAAGUGAAGUCCUACCAAGGUGCUCAACAUCAUCAGAUGCGCUGCCAGGUAUGCAGCCCUUAGCCCUUGGGAAACUUUGUUUUCAGUGCAUUCAGUUUAAUAAUGAUGUCCAUGAAUACGCAUCAGCAUGAUAAAGGGCCUUCUAUGUUUGAAGAAUUCUAAUUUAUACAAAAUACUCCCAAUUCUCUCGAAGUAAUCUGCGAGACCGCGAGAGUAUCUUCUAACUUCGUUAAAUUCGCCUCUUUAAUGUAAUCAUCCCAUGUGAAGUUAGAUUGCUGUUAAGGGCUUUGUUCGGGGAUCUGGUAUAUAAAAACCGAUGAGAAUUCACUUGUGUGCUUCUCUACUUGAACCUGCCAAUAAUUCGUGUACACAGGCAAUUUUCAACCACACGGAGGAAUUCAUUCUCUCCAUCGAUGAAGCACAAAAUGAGGUAUGUUCUAGUCCCCUUCUUCGGACGGUCCAUUGUGCUCUUAUGCGACCUAUGGAAGCUAUAUGUUGGAUCAUGUAAACUUUUGUUGAGGUAGAAUUUUCCUUUCACUUACGCUUUUCUCAUGAUCAACGUGUGCAGAUCGUGGCGUGGGAUUCACUCACGGGAGAAAUAG
rnacentral:lncRNA from 1 species